GCCCAUCUGGGCCCCCAGUUGACUGGAUGGUACCACUCACAUUGAGAGCUCGUCUUCCCCACUUAUUCCACUCAGACUCACAUGCCAGUCUCCUCUGGAGACACCCCGACAGACACACCCCAAAAUAAUGCCUCACCGGGUUUCUGGUUUCUGGGUACUGCUUUAUCCAGUCAAGCAGAUGCCUAGAAUGUACCAUUGUGGUUGGGAGGCUGGAGGAGGCCUGAGGGCUGCGGCCAGGUGGCAGAGGAGCUGGAGUGAAGGGACACAGAUCUCCCCCUCACCCACCAGUGGCCCUGGGGACCCCUUUCAGGGUGCACUGCCCGUUAACACAGGUGCUGUGCAAAUUUCAAGAGUGUUUCAAAUGUUUAUAAUGGCAGGUUUGUCAUAAAGAAGUGUUAGCUGCAGAGACAAUGUUUCUGGCAUAGCUCAGUGCUGAAUAGACUGGUAAUAACGGGUAGGAAAUAGAUGAGGUUUGGGAGAUGACCGCUCCAGGUCCAGGAAGGAUGCUCCUAGCUGAGCAAAGGGCAUUGGCCGGAACUCACAGGCCUUUCCUGGGGCUCUGGAGAGUGGGCUCCCUGCUGGGAAAAUAUCAACAACUUAUCUGAAGGGAAAAAUGUGGCUGGCAGAUUGUCGGCACAGCAGGAGAAUAGGUGAAACAUUGAAUUGGACACACAUUGCCAAGUCACUGGUCAACAUCUUUGUUCUGAAAGAGGAAGGGAAAAAGGCUGGGGCCAACUGACCUGCCAGGAAGCUUUUCAUCUGCCUCAUCCUCUCCUCUCCAGAGAGCUGGGGCUGGUCCUGGUAUAGGACCCAGCUAAGGGAUCCCUGCAGGAUAUGUGAAGAAAGUUCUUGGAAGGGAGGGUGCAGGGCACCCAGGUAAAUAUGAGAAGUCAUAAAAAACCCAAGGGCUGUGAGCACCUGCCCUGCCCUUCUUCCGGCUAAGAGGCUGGGGAGAUGCCAUAGUUUGUAGCGAGUGGACCAUGAACGCUCCUUUUCUAAUGAAUGACAUCAAAUUCACAUCUUGCUUUUCCAGGCGUUCUGUGUGGCAGGAGGAGGAACUGUCAGGCAAGAAGAUAGAGAAAAUCCAGAUUCAUGUCACUGCUUGCGAGAGAUGCUUGCUUUCCUCUUCUAUGCUCACAAAAUCGCAGCCUUGGGCAAUUCAUCCUGAUAACACCAAGAGAGACCAAAAUACUUGCUGUAUCAUUUAAUGACUCUUGGCAGAAAGGAAAAACACUUCACUUGAACAUGGUAUUUUAAAAAUAUGUAUUUUACUAACUUUCAUGGGAAAUUUAACUAUUUGAUGAAAUGCCUUUGUAUAUUACUUGGCUGAUUUUCAUUUGUUCUUAACAAUUUGUCUUAAAGAUGAUACAUGAAAAUGAGAUGAAAAUAUACAAUGUUCCCCAUAAACCAAACCUAGGAGAGAUGAAACGUUGCCCCAAGUGAAAUAGCUGAAUUCAAUGGAUGUUAAUUACUUUUUGUCCCCACGGGCUCCCCCGCCCCCACCUUAAUUUCUUCUAUUUUCCCGUUAGGUUGCAAUCAUUAAUUUCAAGUUUGGUCCCAUACUAUCCAUGAAACUAAACAAAACGUGUGACAGCCGAGAUGAAUUCGGUGCCGCCUUUUGACUAAGCAGGCAAGUGUCCUUUUCAACGCCAGCCUAUGCCUGUACCCUGGUGGGAGGGUGGUGGUGGGGAUGGCCCAUGGCCCUCUCAGUAGCUGCUCGCUUCCACGCCCUUAGACCGCAGUUCUCCUAGUGAUGAGCUGCCCGCCGUCUUGGGAGGCAGCUCCCGGCCCCUACUUUCUACUCUCAGGUUGUCCGGAGACCAUACCCUCUUGACUCUGAACAUAACAGCAGCCCAUGGAUUCCUUUCCACAGGGCAGCAGUAACUUACCAGGAUACAUGUUUUCCCUUGAAUGACUCCCGAGGUCUCAGAAGCCACUCCUUCCUGCCUGCUUUCUCUAAUAGCUCUUUUGGGUGCUGAGACUCUAACUGUAAAGCUUAACACUCACCCAGUGGAAGCAGCAGCCUUACCGAAAGCCUCCUUAAUGAUGGCUUAGGCAGGAAAUGGAAAUGGCUUGCGUUAUCCAUCCUUUGAAGCAUUUCUAGUGCUCAGCCUCCAUGAAAUGGAUUGCUUAUAGGGAGAUAAUGUCUGUUCUAUUCCUUUUUAAGUCUGUGAAAAAUGUCAUCCUGGUUAAUAGGGUGAUUAAAACUCUUUAUGCUCUAGGAGAUAAAUGUGAUUAUGUUUGUCAUACUCUACCCAAGAUAAAGACAGCAAAGGAGGCAAACUUGAAAUUCCAUCACAUUUCCUCUCUUCCAUAUCCAGGGACAUUCAGAGCUCAAUACACAGAUGGUACGUCUCAUAAAGAAUAACAUUAUCUGUUAAACAUUUUUCCUUUCCAUUAACCAAUUUAACAAUAUGCCUCCGGUACAAAAGGAAUAGACAAAUGACAAAAUCCUCUGAUACUCAAGUUCUGACUGUGGCGAAUACCACUUGAGUCAUGCUGCUUUUCUCUUUUAAUUUUCAUCUGUCUGUGACUUCACUUUUGCUUUUAAAAUGCAAUUGGAGCUGAGGCUUGGUCCCUCUUCUAGGGAAUUGGACCCUGCCAGCCUCCCCUCUGCAGGGGAUUCAUCGUUAUUCUUAUGGGAGUCCCCCUGCCAUGGGUCAAGGACAGCAGAGGUGAUGUAUGAGGGUUUUGUAGACACGAGGCAUGCCACUCUAGUAAGUAUUCGGACACUCCUUCAGCAACACACGUCUAGGUGUCCUCUGCACCAGCCCUGUGGGAGAGCAGCGCCCCACCAUGGCCCCUGGCUCCUUCCUAGGGCCUAGCUGCCAUCAGCCCGAUGUGCAGCAGCCUCCCCAGCAGUGGUGACACCAGUUUACAAGGCCCUGAGAUGGGUCCCUACCCUCAGGGAGGCUAUAAGGCAGGAAUCCAUGAAACAGAACCACAGUUAACAAUGAUUUCUCCUUUAACACUCCAGACAGGCGGGAGAGUCUCUUUUCCUACCCAGUGGAGGUCUAGAAACCACUCAGCAUUCUCCAUCUACAGAAAGUAACACCCAGAUUCCAGCUGUAACAGUGUUAGGUAGCGCCCACUCUUUUCUUCCCCCACAUCAGUUGGGUAAUUCAGUGCAGCCGUUGUAACAAGGCUGGAGGGCCAUCUCAUGCACAAGCUUGGAAACCUACGGUUAGGAAGCACCAAAGGAUCCGGUGGUGUGCAUUCUCUUCAGGGGAAUCUAGAUUCAGACUAAUUGUGCGGACGAAAUCCUGUUCCUCUGGCUCUUGCCUUUCCUUCCUCUCAUUCAAAGGCUACAAAUCUCUUCUCAGAGAUUUAGUUAACAUGAAAGGCCGGUGAAGAGUCUUUGCUCCCCACAUUCACCAACCAAUUUCCCAGUCCUUUCCUUUCAGUCUUGGAUUUUUAACAGAUUACACAUGAAUCCCAGAUGCUGACACCUGCUUCAUUAACAAUACAGCAAUUUUAACAGGGUAACAUGGUCUAGAGAAAAGUGUUACAUUAUGUACUUGACAUUUCAUUUAAAAAUCUCCCUUAGAAUAAAAGGUUUCAUGAUAACAGAAAUUUCAAAUGUCCUUUAUUGAACCUGAUUGCUGACUAAUUAGAGCCUAGG